ACUCUCGGCAACGGAUAUCUCGGCUCUCGCAUCGAUGAAGAACAUAGCAAAAUGCGAUACCUGGUGUGAAUUGCAGAAUCCCGCGAACCAUCGAGUUUUUGAACGCAAGUUGCGCCCGAAGCCUUCUGGCGGAGGGCACGUCUGCCUGGGCGUCACGCCAAAAGACACUCCCAACACCCCCCCGCGGGGCGAGGGACGUGGCGUCUGGCCCCCCGCGCCGCAGGGCGAGGUGGGCCGAAGCAGGGGCUGCCGGCGAACCGCGCCGGGCGCAGCACGUGGUGGGCGACAUCAAGUUGUUCUCGGUGCAGCGUCCCGGCGCGCGGGCGGCCAUUCGGCCCUAAGGACCCAUCGAGCGACCGAGCUUGCCCUCGGACCGCGACCCCAGGUCAGUCGGGACUACCCGCUGAGUUUAAGCAUAUAAAUAAGCGGAGGAGAAGAAACUUACGAGGAUUCCCCUAGUAACGGCGAGCGAACCGGGAGCAGCCCAGCUUGAGAAUCGGGCGGCCUCGCCGCCCGAAUUGUAGUCUGGAGAGGCGUCCUCAGCGACGGACUGGGCCCAAGUUCUCUGGAAAGGGACGCCUGGGAGGGUGAGAGCCCCGUCCAGCCCGGACCCUGUCGCACCACGAGGCGCCGUCAACGAGUCGGGUUGUUUGGGAAUGCAGCCCAAAUCGGGCGGUAAACUCCGUCCAAGGCUAAAUACAGGCGAGAGACCGAUAGCGAACAAGUACCGCAAGGGAAAGAUGAAAAGGACUUUGAAAAGAGAGUCAAAGAGUGCUUGAAAUUGCCGAGAGGGAAGCGGAUGGGGGCUGGCGACGCGCCCCAGCCGUAUGCGGAACGGCUCCUGCUGGUCCGCCGAUCGGCUCGGGGCGUGGACCGUUGUCGCCCGCGCCGGCGGCCAAAGCCUGGGGGCCCUAGGCGCCCCCGGCAGCCGUCGUCGGCGCGGACGGUAUCCGUGUGCCUCUGGCGCGCCCCUCAGGGCGCUGCGCCGCAACGGCCUGCGAGCUCCCCAUCCGACCCGUCUUGAAACAUGGACCAAGGAGUCUGACAUGCGUGCGAGUCGACGGGUUCAGAAACCUGAGAUGCGCAAGGAAGCUGACAAGCGGGAGGCCCUCACGGGCCGCACCGCUGGCCGACCCUGAUCUUCUGUGAAGGGUUCGAGUUGGAGCACGCCUGUCGGGACCCGAAAGAUGGUGAACUAUGCCUGAGCGGGGCGAAGCCAGAGGAAACUCUGGUGGAGGCUCGAAGCGAUACUGACGUGCAAAUCGUUCGUCUGACUUGGGUAUAGGGGCGAAAGACUAAUCGAACCAUCUAGUAGCUGGUUCCCUCCGAAGUUUCCCUCAGGAUAGCUGGAGCCCACACGAGUUCUAUCGGGUAAAGCCAAUGAUUAGAGGCAUCGGGGGCGCAACGCCCUCGACCUAUUCUCAAACUUUAAAUAGGUAGGACGGCGCGGCUGCUUCGGUGAGCCGUGCCAUGGAAUCGGGAGCUCCAAGUGGGCCAUUUUUGGUAAGCAGAACUGGCGAUGCGGGAUGAACCGGAAGCCGGGUUACGGUGCCAAACUGCGUGCUAACCAAGAACCCACAAAGGGUGUUGGUCGAUUAAGACAGCAGGACGGUGGUCAUGGAAGUCGAAAUCCGCUAAUGAGUGUGUAACAACUCACCUGCCGAAUCAACUAGCCCCGAAAAUGGAUGGCGCUGAAGCGCGUGACCCACACCUGGCCAUCUGGGCGAGCGACAUGCCCCGAUGAGUAGGAGGGCACGGUGGCCGCCGCAAAACCCGGGGCGCGAGCCUGGGCGGAGCGGCCGUCGGUGCAGAUCUUGGUGGUAGUAGCAAAUAUUCAAAUGAGAACUUUGAAGGCCGAAGAGGAGAAAGGUUCCAUGUGAACGGCACUUGCACAUGGGUAAGCCGAUCCUAAGGGACGGGGGAAACCCGGCAGAUAGCGCGAUCACGCGCGUCACCCGAAAGGGAAUCGGGUUAAGAUUUCCCGAGCCGGGACGUGGCGGCAGACGGCGACGUUAGGAAGUCCGGAGACGCCGGCGGGGGCCUCGGGAAGAGUUAUCUUUUCUGCUUAACGGCCCGCCAACCCUGGAAUCGGUUCAGCCGGAGGUAGGGUCCAGCGGCCGGAAGAGCACCGCACAUCGCGCGGUGUCCAGUGCGCCCCCGGCGGCCCUUGAAAAUCCGGAGGACCGAAUACCGUCCACGCCCGGUCGUACUCAUAAACGCAUCAGGUCUCCAAGGUGAACAGCCUCUGGCCAAUGGAACAAUGUAGGCAAGGGAAGUCGGCAAAACGGAUCCGUAACUUUGGGAAAAGGAUUGGCUCUGAGGGUUGGGCUCGGGGGUCCCGGCCCCGAACCCGUCGGCUGCUGGCGGAAUGCUCGAGCUGCUCGCGCGGCGAGAGCGGGCCGCCGCGUGCCGGCCGGGGGACGGACCGGGAACGGCCCCCUCGGGGGCCUUCCCCGGGCGUCGAACAACCGACUCAGAACUGGUACGGACAAGGGGAAUCCGACUGUUUAAUUAAAACAAAGCAUUGUGACGGUCCUCGAGGAUGCUGACGCAAUGUGAUUUCUGCCCAGU
rnacentral:rRNA from 1 species